UAGGGAAUCUUGCGCAAUGGGCGAAAGCCUGACGCAGCAACGCCGCGUGGGGGAUGAAGGCCCUAGGGUUGUAAACCCCUUUCAGUAGGGACGAAAAUGACGGUACCUACAGAAGAAGCCCCGGCCAACUACGUGCCAGCAGCCGCGGUAACACGUAGGGGGCGAGCGUUGUCCGGAAUUACUGGGCGUAAAGAGCUCGUAGGCGGUUCAGUAAGUCAGAUGUGAAAACUCAGGGCUCAACCCGGAGACUGCAUCUGAUACUGCUGUGACUGGAGUCCGGUAGAGGAGCGUGGAAUUCCUGGUGUAGCGGUGAAAUGCGCAGAUAUCAGGAGGAACACCAACGGCGAAGGCAGCGCUCUGGGCCGGUACUGACGCUGAGGAGCGAAAGCGUGGGGAGCAAACAGGAUUAGAUACCCCCGUAGUCC
rnacentral:rRNA from 1 species